CGCCCACUCAGACAAAACACUACUUGUCUCUCAGACAAAAUACUACUUGUCUCUCAGACAAAUUAAAACAAAAAUUAAAAACACUCAAUCUCUCAGGACUCUCUCCCAUAUGUCUCACUCUCUCUCUCGCAUCUCUCACUCUAUCUCUCUGGUAUCUCUCUUCGGCAUCUUCUCCAUCUCGCUCUCUCAUCUCUCCCAUAUCCCUCAUCUCUCUCUCUUCUCACCCUUUCAUCUCUCGAAGCCGGAAUCUGCGAAGUUUGGGAAAGGGUCCGACGACUUUAUACACAAGGAGCACGGCUAGCUGCUUUUCUCACAGCUCGAAUUUGGUCCGACUCUAACUAUAAGGCACUUGAAAGUGCAUUGAAGGCUACCCGUGAACAACCACCGGCGCCAAUAUCAGAUGCUGAUGUUUAUGUUAAAACACGCAAAUGGGAUAACACAAGAACAUACAAGCUACCUACUGAAGAUGUUGAGAAAAAAGUUAAAAAUGUAGAGAAACUGUUGAAAGAUGGAACAACUGACGAAGUUGAUGAAGUUGUUUAUGGUGGGAAGGAUCAUAGUCGCACUUUUUUAGUGGGGAGGCUUAUUCAGAAAAGGGAACAAAAGAAAAAAAUGCACGCCCUUUGCCUACCAUUCUAUAGAAGUAUGUGGCUAGUUUAACUGAACAAAUUCGAGAUCAAAUUGCGAAGGAGAUGGAAGAACAAGUGCAAAAGAGGGUUAAGCUGGCAGAAAAGAAUCCAGGCCUUAAUCUCGAUAUCGAGCUAACCAGUGCAGCUGAGCCAACAGUUGAGCCAUUACAGGCCAACAAUGGCAGUGAUUAACUGCCCUUGAUUGAUAUUUUCCGUAUUCUGAACUAAACAUGUCCUUGCUUAACUUUUAUUUAGGUUUUAUAUUAUGUUGGAGAAUUUGGUUGUUUGUUUUCUUGGAAACUUGAUAUUGUUAUUUAUAAAGUGAUGAUCUAUUAUUCAAACAAAAGUUUGAAUAAUAAAAUGUUAAA